rnacentral:rRNA from 1 species
UACAGAGGUCCCGAGCGUUGUCCGGAAUUAUUGGGCGUAAAGCGCGCGCAGGUGGUUUCUUAAGUCUGAUGUGAAAGCCCACGGCUCAACCGUGGAGGGUCAUUGGAAACUGGGGAACUUGAGUGCAGGAGAGAAGAGUGGAAUUCCACGUGUAGCGGUGAAAUGCGUAGAGAUGUGGAGGAACACCAGUGGCGAAGGCGGCCCACUGGGCUGUCACUGACGCUGAGGCGCGAAAGCUCGGGGAGCGAACGGG